AACGCUGGCGGCAGGCCUAACACAUGCAAGUCGAACGGUAACAGGAAGCAGCUUGCUGCUUCGCUGACGAGUGGCGGACGGGUGAGUAAUGUCUGGGAAGCUGCCUGAUGGAGGGGGAUAACUACUGGAAACGGUAGCUAAUACCGCAUAAUGUCGCAAGACCAAAGAGGGGGACCUUCGGGCCUCUUGCCAUCGGAUGUGCCCAGAUGGGAUUAGCUUGUUGGUGGGGUAACGGCUCACCAAGGCGACGAUCCCUAGCUGGUCUGAGAGGAUGACCAGCCACACUGGAACUGAGACACGGUCCAGACUCCUACGGGAGGCAGCAGUGGGGAAUAUUGCACAAUGGGCGCAAGCCUGAUGCAGCCAUGCCGCGUGUAUGAAGAAGGCCUUCGGGUUGUAAAGUACUUUCAGCGGGGAGGAAGGGAGUAAAGUUAAUACCUUUGCUCAUUGACGUUACCCGCAGAAGAAGCACCGGCUAACUCCGUGCCAGCAGCCGCGGUAAUACGGAGGGUGCAAGCGUUAAUCGGAAUUACUGGGCGUAAAGCGCACGCAGGCGGUUUGUUAAGUCAGAUGUGAAAUCCCCGGGCUCAACCUGGGAACUGCAUCUGAUACUGGCAAGCUUGAGUCUCGUAGAGGGGGGUAGAAUUCCAGGUGUAGCGGUGAAAUGCGUAGAGAUCUGGAGGAAUACCGGUGGCGAA
rnacentral:rRNA from 1 species